CAAUAGCGUAUAUUAAAGUUGUUGCAGUUAAAAAGCUCGUAGUUGAAUUUUUGCUUGCCGCCGAUGUCGGAACUUCCGUACGUUCGGCGGCGUGCAUCCUUGGGUGGAACCUGUGUGGCAUUAGGUUGUCGUGCAGGGGAUGCUCAUCGUUUACUGUGAAAAAAUUAGAGUGUUCAAAGCAGGCUUACGCCGUUGAAUAUAUUAGCAUGGAAUAAUAAGAUAGGACCUUGGUACUAUUUUGUUGGUUUGCGCACCGAGGUAAUGAUUAACAGGGACGGUUGGGGGUAUUCGUAUCCCAUUGUCAGAGGUGAAAUUCUUGGAUUUCUGGAAGACGAACUACUGCGAAAGCAUUUACCAAGGAUGUUUUCAUUAA
rnacentral:rRNA from 1 species